UAAAUCCGCACACCGUUUAGCCUGAGGCGUGAUGCGUAGCCCGAUUGGGGUGAAGUUGGUGAUCUAGUACUGUCGAGAAAAGCCUCUAGCGAUGUGGAUGUAUGGCCCGUACCCGAAACCGACACAGGUAGUCAGGUUGAAAAUACUAAGGCGUUCGGGUGAACUGUGGUUAAGGAACUCGGCAAAUUGCCCCCGUAACUUCGGAAGAAGGGGGGCCACAACCGGUGAUCCAAACAUGCGUUGGUGAGCUGGUUGGGGUCGCAGAAA
rnacentral:rRNA from 1 species